rnacentral:snRNA from 1 species
AGCUUUGCGCAGUGGCGGUACCAUAGCCAAUGAGGUCCAUCCGAGGCGUGGUUAUUGCUAGUUGAAAACUAAUCCCAAUAUCCCGCGCUGACGCCCUUCACUGGGCGGCAUGCGCAAUUUUUGUUAGCUCCUACGGGGG